rnacentral:rRNA from 1 species
AGCGAACGCUGGCGGCAGGCCUAACACAUGCAAGUCGAACGGACCCUUCGGGGUUAGUGGCGGACGGGUGAGUAACACGUGGGAACGUGCCUUUAGGUUCGGAAUAGCUCCUGGAAACGGGUGGUAAUGCCGAAUGUGCCCUUCGGGGGAAAGAUUUAUCGCCUUUAGAGCGGCCCGCGUCUGAUUAGCUAGUUGGUGAGGUAACGGCUCACCAAGGCGACGAUCAGUAGCUGGCCUGAGAGGAUGACCAGCCACACUGGGACUGAGACACGGCCCAGACUCCUACGGGAGGCAGCAGUGGGGAAUCUUGCGCAAUGGGCGAAAGCCUGACGCAGCCAUGCCGCGUGAAUGAUGAAGGUCUUAGGAUUGUAAAAUUCUUUCACCGGGGACGAUAAUGACGGUACCCGGAGAAGAAGCCCCGGCUAACUUCGUGCCAGCCGCCGCUGUAA